AAAUUACAGUAGUACCUUGGUUUGUGACCACAAUCUGUUCAAAAAUUAAGAAGUUGUGUAAUGUUAAAUCUAGUUGUGGCUAGUAGCAGUAUAUUACUUUUGUAAUAUUUGUUUUUAACUUGACUAGUAAGUUAAUAUUUUGAAACCAAUUUAAAAUUACAGUAGUACCUUGGUUUGCGACCACAAUCUGUUCUUGGAAGUUAGUCUUACACUAAUUUGUGCACAAACUAAAUAGAAUUUCCCCAUAAGAAAUAAAAGAAAUAGAAAUCAUCGCUUCCCAGACCUUGUUUUUCCCCUAUUAACAUUAAUAAAAUAUGUAUUACAUGAUUCCAAAUGCUUAACAUAAGCAUUUAAGCAUAAGAACUAUCAGUAAAGAGACAAUAUAAAAAAAAAAGAAUAAUUUUAACAUAAGAACACCAGCAUGUUGAUAAUGAUUUGAAGGACUGGUUAUAGUCACUACUUUAAGGGGGAAACCCCCUUCCAUAAUACCAAUUGGGAUCUGACUUUCUGGAGUGACUUCCCAUUUCUUUUGUUUUGUGGAUGUAAGAAAAAAGCUAUUGAUAGUCUUUUGCUACUGUCUUCUUUGGAUGACUGUUCCUUUAAUCGAUUCCUUAUUAUUUAAAUAUCAUCAAGAUUGUUAGCGUAAGACAUCUUGUAUUCCACUGCGAGGUUGAAGUCCAUUUUCAUGCUUUGACAUUACUUCUUUUUUCACUUAAAUCUUAGCUUUUUAUUUCCAGUACAGCUCUUUAACCUUUUUCAGUAUGAUUAUACUAUAAAAAAAAUUGUAAUGAAAGUUACAAAAACGAUGAAGCAUAAUAAAUAUAAGCAACUGAUUGAUAGGACAUCUGAUCAGCUAUUGAGGCAAGGUCAGCAGAUUCUUGUGCUAACACAGGUGACAUAGGAUACUUGGCGUUUGCAACCAAAUUUUUGUCAUAAACAAGUGCAAAAUGUUUACAUUUUUGUUCGGAAACAACUUCGUAUAUAAGCAAAAGCAUUUGUAAACCAAGGUUCUACUGUAUUUUAUAUUAUAAGGAGAAAUCUUGUAACUUGUUAAAAAAAAAAAAAAAACUUAUUAAAUAUAUAUAUAUUUAUAUAUUUUUAUUUUAAAGUUUUUUUUUAAUCAUUGAUUGCCCUUAAAAUAUUUUAAAUUAUAUUGUCAGAAAUAUAUACAUAUAUUUUUAAACAACAUUUUUACCUCCUUUAAAAAGACAUAAAAUAAAUACUAUUAUAAAUGUUUGUUUUAAAAUAUUGGUAAUAAUAAUUUGGAAUUGAGCAUUCAGGCUUAAGUUAUUCAUUAAUAAAUAUUUCAUCUGCUGAAAGUAAAGAUUGCUGUUGACAUAUUAUCAGAACCAUCAAAUUAUUUUGUAUAAUUUAAAAACUUUUGAGUUUAUUUGUAUUUUAAGGCUAUAUACCUUUAAAACAAAUUUCAAAUGCAGUUUUAUUUUUUUUUAAUUUUAUCAUUGAUAGAGUGAGAGGGCGUUGAAAUAAUUUUGUUUUGGUCUCAUUACAAAUAUUUUAUAGCAGUUCUGUUGUUUGUAUCCUGACUGAUAUGUGUAUUAUAAUAUUACAUUUAAAAUGUAAAUGCCUUCAUAGCUCAUAUAUUGAUGUGUACAAGAAAACAAUUAUAGUUAACAUUCCUUGUUAAUUUGAGGCAUGUUUGAAAUUGUAAUCUAGAUAUUGCUUGCAGCUUACAAUGUUUUUAGGAUUCAUCACUUGCAUGCUACUUGUGUUAUGUUUCCUCCCAAAUGAAAUCUAGUUCAGAAAUAAAAGGAAAUACAUUUUAGGAAGGUACCGGUAUUAACAUAUUUUUUUUGCAAAAGUGAUAGAAAUGGCUGUUCAUUCUUAAAUUUGUUGUUCUAUGCUGCAUGUUGUGAUCAAUUUUCUCAUUUCUUUUACCUUCACUCAGCUCAUGUUUUCCUUUUUUGUUUUUUUCCUUCAUAAUUUCACUGGCACUGCUUGAGUUGUUAUAUGUUCAAAUGUAGUUUUGUUUAAAUCUUUAAAAAAAAAUAAUGGUAUGUUUUCUUCCAAGAAGCGCUGUCAUUAGAAAGGGGAAUGAAUAGGAAUGCUUUUUGCACACUCUGAAAUAGACUAAAUGCUUGUGUUCAGCAUUUGAAUGUCUCCCUUUUCUUAUAUUUAUACCAUAAAGAAGGUGAAUGAAAUGUUAGUUAUUAUAGCUUUCAUAUUGCUUUUAUUUGUUCCUAUUAUUACCGUACUAUUCUAAUUGGGUUAUAUUUGGAUUGUUCUCAUGAGUACUGUUCAAAUCAUAGGACAGUAACAAGGAUGUUCUCUUGUACGUAUACAGACAAUAAAAUUCAUUGGAAAAAUACAACAGAUAGUAACAUCCUGCUCACUGUGUUCCAGCUUUUGUCUUUUUGUUGUAUUUAAUAUUGUAGUAUUUUUGUUAAAUUUUUAAAACCUUGUAUCUGGGUAAGUAAAUAUUUAUAAUGUUCAGUGUUGUUUUUUUAAUUUAUUAUUUUUGUUAUGUUAAAAUUUUAAAUUCUGUUUUUGGACAUAAAAAUGAGCAAAUAUAAGCUUACUCAAAAAUAAAAUUUGAAUUGUUACUUGUAGGCUCUAAAUUGAAUCAAUAGGAAUAUCAUUAAAACAACCUAAAAUAUAAGGGAGUGAAGAGAGUGACAUGCCAUUACAAAAAAACAAACCUGAUAGUGUUGGAAGUGCAUAGUCUAUAUUGAUUGUUAAAACUACUGUGGAGCAAAUAGCAUAAGAAUUGAUGUUGCCAUGGCAAUAGCAUUUAUCUUUAUGUGCUUGCACCAGUGUUAUUGAUUGUGUAGUUCUGGAUUCAUCCUCAACGUAAUUGCUAACACUUUUAUUCCCCUCUAAAACUAGUUACUUUGUCACUUGUAUUUUAUUUGCCUUCUCUAAGUCAGCCAGUAAUGUUACAUAGCUAAAUAGUCUCCAUAGUAGAAAUUUAACAUGGAUUCGAAACAAAG